rnacentral:snRNA from 1 species
AUACUCUAGUUUCUUUGGAGAUUGUAUAAAUCUUUCACCUUUUACUGAAGAUUUCCAUGAAGGG